AUCCAAGAGUACAAUGUCCCCACAGUGGAAAUGGCAGAACAAAGGCACCAAGCUCGAGUGUGCAGCUGUUAUUUGUUAACAAACAAAGAGCACAGUGACAUUGGAGUGACAAAGUCAAUAAUGAAAUAGCUAGAGAAAUGAGGUCACAGGUAAGGAGCGCGAUAGAGGCGAACUCUCUGAGACUGUAGGAAAGGGAUUUGGACCUUCGACAGUCUUCCACAAGUUUCUCAGGAUUAAGAUGGCAGCUUUCUGGCUUUGGGGGCUCAGAAUAGGAAGCUGUGGGGUAAUUUUGAGACCACUCAAAUAAUCCGAGUGGGAUUAAGAAUAACAGAUGCAGAUAUCAGAGAUCCUGUGCUGGGCAUCAUUGAGACUCUGAAUAAAUAAUACAUUGUUAUGAGAUAGAAUAUCGUGAAUUGAGCUGGAAAGGACAAUGGUUAAAGUAAACAUCAGAAGGCAAUACAAAAAAAAACAUGGGUUUUGGAUAUUAACUCUGAGAUAUCCAAUUAAAAAUUGUUAAUAACUAUUCAUAGAUACAGGGUGAUCGUCGUGGAUCAAAACUUAAGUGUUUGAAAACUAAAUGAGGGACUUCCUCACCGAAGUUUGAGAUAAGCAAGGUUACUACUAAAGUCACAAAAUCUACUACAGAAGGGGCAGUAACUAGGAAGGGAGGAAUCUCGGGAAGAACCAUCGACCCCUACAACCUAGAAGCCGCUCUACAUCAUCAGACUCGGGCACCUGAUGCUCAAGAGUCCCAGGUGCUGCAGCCUCUGCCCCUGUGGUGACAACUAAUCAUUCCAUUGGACUAAAACGAUAUACUUUAAAAAACAAUGUCCUGGAAUUGCCGAGACUGCUCAUAUAAGGCCAUGAAGGUCUACACAGCAAAGAUUGCACAAUAACCCAUUAAAAUAAACAUUUGCAACCACA
rnacentral:lncRNA from 1 species